rnacentral:rRNA from 1 species
GGACCCGCACAAGCGGUGGAGUAUGUGGUUUAAUUCGAUGCAACACGAAGAACCUUACCAGGGUUUGAAAUCAUUUCAAAACUCCUUGAAAGAGGAGCCUCCUUCGGGAUGAAAUGACAGGUGGUGCAUGGCUGUCGUCAGCUCGUGUUGUGAAAUGUCGAGUUAAGUCUCGUAACGAGCGCAACCCAUGUCUCUUGUUGCUCACUGAGUGCUUAAGAGAGACUGCCGACCAACAUCGGAGGAAGGUGUGGAUGAUGUCAAGUCAGCAUGCCCCUUACAUCCUGGGCUACACACGUACUACAAUGGUAGGGACAAUGAGCUGCGAUCCUGCGAAGGCUAGCCAAUCUCAAAAACCCUAUCUCAGUUCGGAUCGGAGUCUGCAACUCGACUCCGUGAAGUUGGAAUC